rnacentral:rRNA from 1 species
UCGGGAAUAUUGCGCAAUGGAGGAAACUCUGACGCAGUGACGCCGCGUGCAGGAAGAAGGUUUUCGGAUUGUAAACUGCUUUAGACAGGGAAGAAACAAAUGACAGUACCUGUAGAAUAAGCUCCGGCUAACUACGUGCCAGCAGCCGCGGUAAUACGUAGGGAGCGAGCGUUAUCCGGAUUUAUUGGGUGUAAAGGGUGCGUAGACGGAUAAUCAAGUUGGUUGUGAAAUCCCUCGGCUUAACUGAGGAAUUGCAACCAAAACUGGUAAUCUUGAGUACUGGAGGGGAAAGCGGAAUUCCUA